UACGAAGGGGGCUAGCGUUGUUCGGAAUUACUGGGCGUAAAGCGUAUGUAGGCGGAUCGUUAAGUCGGGGGUGAAAUCCCGAGGCUCAACCUCGGAACUGCCUUCGAUACUGGCGAUCUUCGAGUCCGGGAGAGGUGAGUGGAAGUCCGAGUGUAGAGGUGAAAUUCGUAGAUAUUCGGAAGAACACCAGUGGCGAAGGCGGCUCACUGGCCCGGUACUGACGCUGAAAUACGAAAGCGUGGGGAGCAAACAGG
rnacentral:rRNA from 1 species